GACGUAGGGCGCAAGCGUUGUCCGGAUUUAUUGGGCGUAAAGGGCUCGUAGGCGGCCUGUCGCGUCGAUCGUGAAAACUGGGGGCUUAACUUCCAGCUUGCGGUCGAUACGGGCAGGCUUGAGGUAGGUAGGGGAGAUCGGAAUUCCACGUGUAGCGGUGAAAUGCGCAGAUAUGUGGAGGAACACCGGUGGCGAAGGCGGAUCUCUGGGCCUAUCCUGACGCUGAUGAGCGAAAGCGUGGGGAGCUAACAGG
rnacentral:rRNA from 1 species